rnacentral:rRNA from 1 species
UACGUAGGGGGCAAGCGUUGUCCGGAAUCAUUGGGCGUACAGAGCGUGUAGGCGGUUCGGUAAGUCCGCUGUGAAAGUCAAGGGCUCAACCCUUGAAUGCCGGUUGAUACUGUCGGGCUAGAGUCCGGAAGAGGCGAGUGGAAUUCCCGGUGUAGCGGUGAAAUGCGUAGAUAUCGGAAGGAACACCGGUGGCGAAAGCGGCGCGCUGGACCUCUUCUGACGCUGAGGCGCGAAAGCCAGGGGAGCGAACGGG